rnacentral:rRNA from 5 species
ACGGGUGAGUAAUGCCUAGGAAUCUGCCUGGUAGUGGGGGACAACGUUUCGAAAGGAACGCUAAUACCGCAUACGUCCUACGGGAGAAAGCAGGGGACCUUCGGGCCUUGCGCUAUCAGAUGAGCCUAGGUCGGAUUAGCUAGUUGGUGAGGUAAUGGCUCACCAAGGCGACGAUCCGUAACUGGUCUGAGAGGAUGAUCAGUCACACUGGAACUGAGACACGGUCCAGACUCCUACGGGAGGCAGCAGUGGGGAAUAUUGGACAAUGGGCGAAAGCCUGAUCCAGCCAUGCCGCGUGUGUGAAGAAGGUCUUCGGAUUGUAAAGCACUUUAAGUUGGGAGGAAGGGCAUUAACCUAAUACGUUAGUGUUUUGACGUUACCGACAGAAUAAGCACCGGCUAACUCUGUGCCAGCAGCCGCGGUAAUACAGAGGGUGCAAGCGUUAAUCGGAAUUACUGGGCGUAAAGCGCGCGUAGGUGGUUUGUUAAGUUGGAUGUGAAAGCCCCGGGCUCAACCUGGGAACUGCAUUCAAAACUGACAAGCUAGAGUAUGGUAGAGGGUGGUGGAAUUUCCUGUGUAGCGGUG